AGACCUUACCACUGUUCCUGAAACCUGGUCAGAGCGGAAGUAAGGACUGGUGUCAGGAGGGAGCUGCUAGGUGGCAAAGGGAAGAGCCCUCAGGAUAGGUUCUAUCUGUGAAGCCUGUCCUCAAGGAUGGACAGUUCUCACGCUACAAGGUCCUGUGUGCUCAUCUUUUUUGUGGCCCUACUCUGUGCAGAAAGAGCUCAGGGGCUGGAGUGCUACCACUGCCCAGAUGACCCACGAGAGUCUUCCUGCAAUACCACAACCUGCCCCUUCCCUGAUGGAUUCUGUGUUACUCAGGAGGCAGAAAUUAUUGUGGACUCUCAAAGAAGGAAAGUAAAGAGCCAUCAGUGCCUUUCUUACUGCCCUACUGAUCUUGAAAAUAGCCCGAUCAAGGAUCCUAAGGUCAAGGUGAAGAUUUCCUGUUGCCAGGAAGACCUCUGCAAUGCAGCAGUUCCCACUGAAGGCAGCACCUGGACCAUGGCAGGGGUGCUUCUGUUCAGCCUGAGCUCAGUCCUCCUGCAGACCUUGCUGUGAUGGUCCUUCCAACAACCCUCACCCUUGUCCUUUUAUCCUCAUGUGCAACCACUCUUUCCUGGAGUCCUCUAGUGAUGAAUUAUGAGUUAUAGAAGCUCCAAGGUGGGAGUACUGUGUGGAACACCCUGUUUUACCUUUAUAGCCCCUGCUGGGUAGGUGCCCCACUCCUCUCUAAGGCUUUCAGAUCUGUACUUCCUGGAAUGUUAUUUUGUUGUGGCUUGCAAUUCCUGGCCCUGGAGGCAUGUGGCCAGCACAGGCAUGAGCCAGUAUUCCAAGGUGUUAUGCCAUCACCAUCCACACAUAAGUAUCUGGAGUCCUGCAGGGUUCCGAUGUGUGCUGGUCAAUGUCCCCCUUUUGAGUCCAAUAAACCCUUUAUUCUCCCAGCCAAGAUCUCCUGUUUUCAUAUGUUACACUGAGUCCACUGAGUCCUUCCUGCUAGUUCACAUCUCUGCCAUUUCAGCCUGUCAUACUAACUAGUUCAUGUUACCCAGCUCAGAGUGGGGGACCGCUUGGAUUUGGUGGGCUUACGAAAUGCCUGAUACUGGGAAAAGAGAGAGGGACAUAAAGAGCACUGUGCUUUUUCUUCAGAGGCAAAGUCUCUUGCUGAACCCAGAGCUUGUGGGGUGGCUGGUUUAGACCUCUGUUCUCUGCCUGGUGAGUACUGGUUGCACUGUGCCUUCUUUAUUUAACUAUCUCCUCAGCAGCCUUCCUCCCCCUUCUCACCCCCAUUGGUGGAGAUAGAAACCAGGGCCUCGUGCAUUUGAAGAAACAUCAUCAAGCCACACAUCAGCACAGGGAACUUCCAAGGAGCACUUGCUUGUGGUGGGGAAGCCCAGGAGAUGAGCAAUUAAUGGUGGGUAUGGGCUGCCCUGUCAGAUUCUUUUAGUCCAGAAGUGGACGUUAUUUCCUGCAGGGGCUUUUGGCUUACCUCUCCUGGAAUGCCAGGACUCCAUGUAGUCCAUGUAGAUCACAACCUGGUGAUCUUUUCCUGUCUGAUGAGCCAGGCUUGGCCUGCAUCUUCAAGUAUUUAUUUUUUUGCUUUCCCAGACCAGUUCCCUUUAAAACCUUAACCAUUGCUUCUAGGUUAUAAAAUUCAUCCUUGUCAGAGAUAUCCUUUAUUUUACAACAGCCUAAGUCACUAUCUAAUCUUUGGACCAGGCCAACCCUGACACCAGUAGUCAUUACAUUCACCUCAAUGCAGUUGUUCUUCCUAGAUCAUUAUCUUGAGCAUUGUUUCUAAGACAACAAGAAACCAACUUAUGGAUGAAGCUAUAUGUAAAGAUCUUCAAUGUCAACAUGUCUUAAGCUUUACUGUACUCAUGGAGCUGAGUUGAUCAUUAGCUGAACACUUCUUCCAAGUGUGUGCUGUGGCUAAUUAAAUAUGGAUAAAAUACAAUGAUCUGGGUCAGACUCUAGAAGUCUUAGCCCGGCAAUGGUACUAAAA
rnacentral:lncRNA from 1 species